rnacentral:lncRNA from 1 species
CCACCUCUCCGAAGGGCAGGGAAUAAACACGCGCACAGGGAUGUGCAGGACCAACCCACCAACGCACCCCAAAAAAUUACAGGGGGGGAGAAAUCCCAACGCAGAAGCCCCGGGGCAGCACGGGAGGCGUGGAACCACGCUUACCGCUUCUGCCACGCGACCCUAAAUCGAGAGGGGAAAAAGCACCAACUAAACGCACACGAACCCAAGCGACCCUACUCAUCCCAUCGCGGCAAACGAACCUGGCACGGCCUCCGGAUCGUCCUGAAGCCUCCCUCUGCCCGCUCGGGGCAAGGGGAGGAGGGAGCCAAGAAUGGGGGAAGACCUUGCAGAGUUCCCACCAAAAACAUAAGGGGCAGCCCCACGCCCGGGUGACGUCCCACCUCCUCUUUCCGUCCCCGCUGCUGCCCUUCGGGGUCGAGGCCCGAGCCCUGCCCGUAACCGUUCCUGGACGGGAGGCGCGUGGGGCGGAGGAGGCGCGUUAACCGGCCCCGAAACGCCCCGCAGGCCAGCGGGGGGAUCUGCAAAGCUGCCUGGAGGCAGGGGAGAGCUCUGCCGAGGACACGUCGCUGCAGCUCGGCGGCGUCUGGGCAGGGCCGCCUGCCUCCCAGACCGGUUCACCUGGCCGCAGCGUCCCAAGGCGAAGCGGCUCCGAGGCAGCGGCUCGGGGCGAGGGCUGCGGGGACGGGACGGGGCCGGGCAGGGCCCGGCCGGCCCCGGCGCAGCGGCGGAGCGCGGAGAAGGCCCCGGCGCCCCCCUCCCCGCCCCCCUCCGCCUUCACCGCCGCCCGCUUGAAGCCGCCGCCGGCGCCAUUUUGGUUGCGGGCGUGGAGAGCGCCGCCAUUGGUCGCCCGCGAUCCGGUUCCGGAGGCCGGGCCAAUGGGGAGCAGGGAGGGGGAGUGACGUCAUAGGGGGAGGGGAGGGGCUGGGGAAGGAGGGGAGGGAGUACUUGUGUGGGGGUGGGAUGUACCAUCUCGGCUGCUGAGGGGGGGAGGAUGAAAGGAUGAACCAUUAUGGUUACUGUGGGGGUGGGAUGAACCAUCUCGCCUGCUGUAGGGGGGGAGUGGGGAGGAGUAUUUAGCUCCGAGAGGAGCGGGGGGGGGCUGGCUGUGGGCGGGAGGGACCACCCCCCCGCGAGCCCCCCCCGCCCCACGCAUGGUUGGGCGGGCAGGGUUAAACAGCGCCGUGAGGGCCGGGAGAGACCAUUCCGCUGCGCGGGGGGGGGCGCCGGCAAAACCACGGAGGGGAGGGGGAGCGGGUUAAACCACCCGCGGCGCGACGGGGGGAGGUGGCGGCGGG